rnacentral:rRNA from 1 species
AUUGCCACCAACAACUUCUCCGACCAGAUGAAGCUGGGUGAAGGUGGUUUCGGUUCCGUGUACAAAGGAUUCUUGAAGGAGCUUAAAGUUGAGGUGGCUAUAAAAAGAGUGUCCAAGACCUCCAAGCAGGGGAGGAAGGAGUACAUGUCAGAGGUGAAGAUCAUAAGUCGAUUGAGACAUCGAAACUUCGUACAGCUUAUUGGUUGGUGCCAUGGUGGCGGCGAGCUCUUGCUUGUGUAUGAUCUUAUGCCCCAUGGCAACCUAGAUACUCACCUUUAUAGUUCAAAUGCCACAUUAUUGUGUCCACUCAGGUAUGAGAUUGUGUUGGGGCUAGGGUCGGCGCUUCUAUACAUGCAUCAAGACUGGGAGCAAUGUGUUCUGCACCGUGACAUCAAGCCAAGCAACAUCAUGUUAGACGCGUCCUUUUGUGCCAAACUUGGUGAUUUUGGGCUUGCCCGGCUUGUCGACCACGGUCGAGGACCAUACACAACAGGUCUUGCAGGAACUAUGGGCUACAUGGAUCCUAAGUGUGUGGUCAUCGGAAGGACCAACAUCGAGUUUGAUGUCUACAACUUUGGCGUCGUCAUGCUCGAGAUCGCCUGCGGCAAGUGGCCCGCAGUUCCUCGGGGGCAAGAGGACACCAUUCAUCUGGUGCAAUGGGUUUGGGAUUCAUGGGAAAGUAGAAGGACCCUUGAAGCGGCCGAUGCGCAGAUCAACCUGGAGUUUGACGAACGGGAGAUGGAGUGCGUGAUGGUGGUCGGGCUCUAG